AGCGGCGAGUGAAGCGGCAAGAGCUCAGAUUUGAAAUCGUGCUUUGCGGCACGAGUUGUAGAUUGCAGGUUGGAGUCUGUGUGGAAGGCGGUGUCCAAGUCCCUUGGAACAGGGCGCCCAGGAGGGUGAGAGCCCCGUGGGAUGCCGGCGGAAGCAGUGAGGCCCUUCUGACGAGUCGAGUUGUUUGGGAAUGCAGCUCCAAGCGGGUGGUAAAUUCCAUCUAAGGCUAAAUACUGGCGAGAGACCGAUAGCGAACAAGUACUGUGAAGGAAAGAUGAAAAGCACUUUGAAAAGAGAGUGAAACAGCACGUGAAAUUGUUGAAAGGGAAGGGUAUUGCGCCCGACAUGGGGAUUGCGCACCGCUGCCUCUCGUGGGCGGCGCUCUGGGCUUUCCCUGGGCCAGCAUCGGUUCUUGCUGCAGGAGAAGGGGUUCUGGAACGUGGCUCUUCGGAGUGUUAUAGCCAGGGCCAGAUGCUGCGUGCGGGGACCGAGGACUGCGGCCGUG
rnacentral:rRNA from 1 species